AAGCUUAUGAAGAUAAAAAUAAUAAUCCUAGCGGAUUUCAUUUAGGUUUAUUGAUAAAUGAUCUGAAUUUGUCACACUGAAGCUA